AAAUGCAGCUCCAGGGUUGUGAGGCACCCACCAGCAUCAUUCCCCGUGCGAGGUGGCAAAUGCAACAUGCUCUCCAGCUUGGGGUGUCUACUUCUCUGUGGAAGUAUUACACUAGCCCUGGGAAAUGCACAGAAAUUGCCAAAAGGUAAAAGGCCAAACCUGAAAGUCCACAUCAAUACCACAAGUGACUCCAUCCUCUUGAAGUUCCUGCGUCCAAGUCCAAAUGUAAAGCUUGAAGGUCUUCUCCUGGGAUACGGCAGCAAUGUAUCACCAAACCAGUACUUCCCUCUUCCCGCUGAAGGGAAAUUCACAGAAGCUAUAGUUGAUGCAGAGCCGAAAUAUCUGAUAGUUGUGCGACCUGCUCCACCUCCAAGUCAAAAGAAGUCAUGUUCAGGUAAAACUCGUUCUCGCAAACCUCUGCAGCUGGUGGUUGGCACUCUGACACCGAGCUCGGUCUUCCUGUCCUGGGGUUUCCUCAUCAACCCACACCAUGACUGGACAUUGCCAAGUCACUGUCCCAAUGACAGAUUUUAUACAAUUCGCUAUCGAGAAAAGGAUAAAGAAAAGAAGUGGAUUUUUCAAAUCUGUCCAGCCACUGAAACAAUUGUGGAAAACCUAAAGCCCAACACAGUUUAUGAAUUUGGAGUGAAAGACAAUGUGGAAGGUGGAAUUUGGAGUAAGAUUUUCAAUCACAAGACUGUUGUUGGAAGUAAAAAAGUAAAUGGGAAAAUCCAAAGUACCUAUGACCAAGACCACACAGUGCCAGCAUAUGUCCCAAGGAAACUAAUCCCAAUAACAAUCAUCAAGCAAGUGAUUCAGAAUGUUACUCACAAGGAUUCAGCUAAAUCCCCAGAAAAAGCUCCAUUGGGAGGAGUGAUACUAGUCCACCUUAUUAUUCCAGGUCUUAAUGAAACUACUGUAAAACUUCCUGCAUCCCUAAUGUUUGAGAUUUCAGAUGCACUCAAGACACAAUUAGCUAAGAAUGAAACCUUGGCAUUACCUGCCGAAUCUAAAACACCAGAGGUUGAAAAAAUCUCAGCACGACCCACAACAGUGACUCCUGAAACAGUUCCAAGAAGCACUAAACCCACUACGUCUAGUGCAUUAGAUGUUUCAGAAACAACACUGGGUAAUUCUAAGAACUUUUUUUUUUCUAAAAAAACAAAAGUAACAACGAAAUAACUCCCAGGACUCACAGAAAAGAAACCUGGUGCCUUAACUUCUCUCUCCCUCCCCACUUUCUCCUUUUCCUUCCUGGCAGUGGUUAACCUUCCUCUUUCUUGGACAGAUUCCACUGAAGAGUUAACCACAUGGCUGAUCCUGGUGACUGACCUUCUGGGCAAAUCUGGAUGCUAAUUGCUAACUAAAUGCCCUUUUUAACCAGUCUCUGGGUUAUACAGACAGAAUACCAGCCUUUUAACUCCCAAAUCUUGGGGGAGAAUGGAGGAAACCUGGAAGUCUUGACUCUGUGCUUUCUGCUUAGAGUGGCUUUGGGAAGUCUUGUGCGUACUAAAUUUGGGAAGAAUCCCCAAAAGUGUCAUGCUUUUAAACAAGAAUUUCAUGGCACCCAUGUUUGUUGUUUCUUAGCCCAAGAGAAUCUAACUUGCUUUGUUGUUCUCUUUCCCCUGAAGAAAAGGAGCAGCAUGUGUUUUGUUCUGUAAUUUGAUGUUGAUCUUCUCAGCCACACCACUGCCCUUUGAAUGUACACCUUCAUAUUUUAACAGCUAUGUAACUUUUCCAGGGAAGGUUAUUUCCAUUAAAGGUAUUGGCUGCUCUGUGUGCAAGAGUCUGUUACAAAGCUUGCUGUGCAUGAUCAUGGUUAAGCCACAACAUCAAAACCCAAGUCCAGGAGUUGCUAACUGCGCUCUUUUUUAUUGUAGUUCUCAGCAAAAGGACCCCGGAAACAUUGCAAACUAUUCUAAUACCUCAGUUUGAAUUGCCACUGAGCACUCUAGGUAAAAAAUAAUAAAUACUGCAGCUUUAUUAUUACCUUGGAUAUUGUAUGCAUGCUUCAAAGAAGUCUUUUGAAUUAAUUAUGCUAAUUUAUACCCAAUCCCUUAAAGGUGACACAGUCUUCAAGUUUAGGAUCCCAAAGAGGCUCUCCCUAUGACAAAUUGUUUGGUUGGGUUGUUUUUCUUUUAAGUGGUCAUAUUUUAAUAUUAUGUUUGAUUCUUUUAAUUCAGAAUCAAUAUGUCACUGAACAAAUUGAUCAUUUCUGUAUUUUUUGUAAAUGUGUUUACUCUAUUGUCUCUCUUAACAGAGAAGAUAUAUUUAUGAUAUUUCUGCAGACUGCUUCUUAGAAUUCUUAGAAUUCUUCUGAGUGAAGUAUGAAAAAAAUGAGGGCAGGGUGCAGCGGCUCAUGCCUGUAAGCCCAACACUUUGGGAGGCUGAGGCAGGUGGAUUGCCUGAGGUCAGUAGUUCAAGACCACCCUGGCCAACCUGGUGAAACCCCGUCUCUAUUAAAAAUACAAAAAUUAGACUGGCAUGGUGGCAUGCGCCUGUAAUCCCAGCUACCCAGGAGGCUGAGACAGGAGAAUCACUUGAACCCAGGAGGUGGAGGUUGCAGUGAGCCAAGAUCGUGCCACGCACUGCAACCUGGGUGACAGAGCGAGACUCCACUUCAAAAAAAAAAAAAAAAAAAAAGAUGGGGGGAGGAGCUUACAUAUAAAGCCGCCGUAGUUACCAAAACUCUAUUUUUAAAAGCUUUCAGAUGGACAUUUUCUAGUUCAGAUGUGUUUGCUUGGUUUAAAUUUAAAUGAAAUAUAUUUAAGAACACACAUAAACGUAGCUGAAGAAAUCAGCAAACUGGUUUAAUAAGGGUGGAAAGAAGAGUCCAAAUACAGUAGCUUAAAUUUAGUCACUUAACUGUAAAAAACUGAAAAAGAAACUUUCUUAUAUUCAACAUUGAAACAUAGAUGUAACAAAUACUACUAAUGGUCUCUUAACAUGAUUUGCCUUUUUGUGUUUGCUUUUGUUUUUGCAAGCUUAAAAUUUUAAAAAUCUUUUCUGUUACUUUCACCUCAGGUCGUAACUUUCUUUAUGUGUUUCAUUACAGCUCCAAAAAGCCUUCCAGAAUUUCCUGAGGCAAAAACACCCUUCCCUUUUGAGAAACCUAGGGGCACAUUGGGUAAUAAGAGUACCUUAAAUUUAAUAUUAAGGCUGUAGGUGGUGAUUGCUUAAUUCUGCAGGACACAUUUACUGCAUCUUAUUUCUGGAAACCUCAUGAACUGAUAGUUAGGCAAACAAAUGGUUGAUUUGAUUUUUUUUUUAAUAAAUCUAUUUGGAUUUUCUGCAAAUUCAGUAAAACCCAUCAGUCUUAAUUCCACAUAAUCCACUUAGCUUUUUGUCCUUAAAAAUGCUGACAGUCUGACACCAAACUCUGGUCUCUCUCUGACCACUAAUCAAAUGUUCUCUGGAUGGAUACAUACUGAUUUCUUACUGAUAUAUAAUCACUUUUUAUUGUAUUGGUAUACUGCAGGCUUCUGGUAGCCACUUAACCAUACCAGCAACCUAUUUCUGUCUCGUUCUCCUGUUAAAAAAAAAAAAAA
rnacentral:sRNA from 1 species